GCUGGCGGCGCGCCUAACACAUGCAAGUCGAACGAGAAAGUGGAGCAACCCAUGAGUACAGUGGCGUACGGGUGAGUAACACGUGGAUCAUUUGCCUUUUAGUGAGGAAUAACCAUGGGAAACCGUGGCUAAUACCGCAUAAGCCCGAGAGGGGAAAGUCGCAAGACGCUGAAAGAGAAGUCCGCGGCCGAUUAGCUAGUUGGUAGGGUAAAAGCCUACCAAGGCAAAGAUCGGUAGCCGGCCUGAGAGGGCACACGGCCACACUGGCACUGAAACACGGGCCAGACUCCUACGGGAGGCAGCAGUGGGGAAUCUUGCACAAUGGGGGAAACCCUGAUGCAGCGACGCCGCGUGAGCGAUGAAGCCCUUCGGGGUGUAAAGCUCUUUCGUCGGGGACGAUAAUGACGGUACCCGGAGAAGCAGCUGCGGCUAACUACGUGCCAGCAGCCGCGGUAAUACGUAGGCAGCAAGCGUUGUUCGGAGUUACUGGGCGUAAAGGGUGUGUAGGCGGUUGUUUAAGUUUGGUGUGAAAUCUCCCGGCUCAACUGGGAGGGUGCGCCGAAUACUGAAUGACUUCGAGUGCGGGAGAGGAAAGUGGAAUUCCUGGUGUAGCGGUGAAAUGCGUA
rnacentral:rRNA from 1 species